AAAGCCUUUCUUCCUCGCGAAACAGAGGAAGCUCUGAUAUUUAAAAAAAAAUAUAUUCCUCUUUUAAAUCCAAAUUUCCUUCCUCACAACUCAAUCAACCCAUAAACUUCUAAAAUUCUCAGCUAGAUCCUGAUUAAACCUAUAUUCUACUCAAAAAUUCAAUAAUUUCUUUCAGAGGUUCCAAAUUGGAUAGGUGAGUUUUAUCCCUUUUAUUCAAAUUUUUACUAUAUAAUUUAUUUUCUCUACCUGUUAAUAGUACUUUUUGUGAUUUGAGGAUAAAAAUGGGUUAUGUUUUAGUUAGACCUAAUCAAUAGGAUUUUGUAUAUGAUUUUCAUAGGUUGAUUUAAAUAAUAUUUACAGUUUAUUGAGUAUUUCUGUUGAGUUUGGAUAUUUUUGGGAGAUCUACCUAUGCUGAAAUACUGCCGGAAUUUUCUUAUAAAAAAUAUAUAUAAAAAGAUAUUUAAAAUUUCGUAUUUUACGUUUUAUAUUUUUAUCCUAGAAGAAUUAUGUAUUAUGUGAUAUAUUAUGUUUUUUUCUUUCUAAUUCUAGGAGAGAAUCCAGCUUUCAGGAUAGGCAAUAGGGUGCUCCUGCGACCUAGGUUAUUCUAUCUUCAGUACUGGUGAGUGGAUAAACAUAUAACAUUGAUUCUUUUCUUAAAUAUAUGUAUAUGUGUAUAGUUAUAUUGUUUAUUUAAAAUGAGAAAAGAUAAAGUUAAUUUAUAUUUCUUGAAUAAAUGGAAAUUGAAUUCAAAGCACAGCUGAAUAAAUAGCCGAUUACACUCUAUAUAUAC
rnacentral:lncRNA from 1 species